rnacentral:misc_RNA from 1 species
GCUUCAGGCACAAAAUUUGUGGGCUGCAAAUGAUCACAUGCGGGGGUUUUCAAGCUCUCAGAUGAAAGAAACGGGUCUUCCAAAAGUUCAGCUGCACUCAAUCUUACUGAUACUGGGGCCAAACAUUUCUCGACAAAUUGUUUUACAUGAGGAUCUGCUACUUUUGCUAAAGACGCUGGCUUUAUUCCCGACGUGACUUUCUU